AUUUUUUAAAAAAGACAUCCUAGAACGGCUGGCAAAUCCAAGGAUAGGAUGGAAAGAAUUUCUGGAUGUUCAGCCAGUCUGAUCCAUGUUUUGACAUUUUAUGCAAGAGAAUAAAAGCUGUUUUUCCCCCCAUUUCUCCAGGCCGCUACUACCCAUCAUUUCACACAGAUCUGGUUACACACGCACAGAAAAGUCAUCAAUGCAUUGGAAGAAGACAAAGGGAGAGACUGUUUCUGCUUAUGCAGAACUUCUGGAGAUGCAAUACAGAAGCCUUCAUAACACCAAGACCCAUGAUUCAAUACGCUCACUUGAAAUUUCUGGCAAUGUCAUGCACAUCAUGGUUUCAACUCACUGCCACUGCAGCAAGAUGGGCCCUGGAGGAAAAAACAAGCCCCUCAAGCAUUAGCAGGUGCUGUGCCACCUCCUAGCAUUUUCAGUUAUCUUCUUGAAGUCUGC
ensembl:lncRNA